CCUACGGGAGGCAGCAGUCGAGGAUCUUCGGCAAUGGGCGCAAGCCUGACCGAGCGACGCCGCGUGAGCGAUGAAGGCCAUUAGGUUGUAAAGCUCUGUCGAGGGGGAACAAGCCGCAAGGUUGAGUGAUCCCUGGAGGAAGCACGGGCUAAGUUCGUGCCAGCAGCCGCGGUAAGACGAACCGUGCGAACGUUGUUCGGAAUCAUUGGGCUUAAAGGGCGCGUAGGCGGGUUGACAAGUCCGGGGUGAAAGCCUCCAGCUCAACUGGAGAAGAGCCCCGGAUACUGUCAGUCCGGAGAGGGAUAGGGGCACAUGGAACUUCCGGUGGAGCGGUGAAAUGCGUAGAGAUCGGAAGGAACGCCGGUGGCGAAAGCGAUGUGCUGGAUCUUUUCUGACGCUGAGGCGCGAAAGCUAGGGGAGCAAACGGGAUUAGAUACCCCGGUAGUCCUAGUCCUAAACGAUGGGUACUGGGUUGCGGGUCAGACAUAGACUCGCAGCCGGAGCAAAAGUGUUAAGUACCCCGCCUGGGGAGUAUGGUCGCAAGGCUGAAACUCAAAGGAAUUGACGG
rnacentral:rRNA from 1 species